rnacentral:rRNA from 1 species
CCUACGGGAGGCAGCAGUAGGGAAUAUUGCUCAAUGGGGGAAACCCUGAAGCAGCAACGCCGCGUGGAGGAUGAAGGUUUUCUGAUUGUAAACUCCUUUUGUUAGAGAAGAUAAUGACGGUAUCUAACGAAUAAGCACCGGCUAACUCCGUGCCAGCAGCCGCGGUACUACGGAGGGUGCAAGGGUUACUCGGAAUCACUGGGCGUAAAGAGCGCUUAAGCGGGAUAGAAAGUCCGAUGUGAAAUCCUAUGGCUUAACCAUAGAACUGCAUUUGAAACUGUUAUUCUAGAGUAUGGGAGAGGUAGGUGGAAUUCUUGGUGUAGGGGUAAAAUCCGUAGAGAUCAAGAGGAAUACUCAUUGCGAAGGCGACCUGCUAGAACAUAACUGACGCUGAUGCGCGAAAGCGUGGGGAGCAAACAGGAUUAGAUACCCCUGUAGUC